rnacentral:rRNA from 1 species
UACGUAGGGACCGAGCGUUGUCCGGAUUCAUUGGGCGUAAAGAGCUCGUAGGCGGCCACUCAAGUCGAAUGUGAAACCUCGAGGCUUAACCUCGAGCCUGCAUUCGAUACUGGGCGGCUAGAGUCUGGUAGGGGGAUCUGGAAUUCCUGGUGUAGCGGUGGAAUGCGCAGAUAUCAGGAGGAACACCAGUGGCGAAGGCGGCACUCUGGGCCGGUACUGACGCUGAGGAGCGAAAGCGUGGGGAGCGAACAGG